UACGUAGGGUGCAAGCGUUAAUCGGAAUUACUGGGCGUAAAGCGUGCGCAGGCGGUUAUGCAAGACAGAUGUGAAAUCCCCGGGCUCAACCUGGGAACUGCAUUUGUGACUGCAUGGCUAGAGUACGGUAGAGGGGGAUGGAACUCCGCGUGUAGCAGUGAAAUGCGUAGAUAUGCGGAGGAACACCGAUGGCGGAGGCAAUCCCCUGGACCUGUACUGACGCUCAUGCACGAAAGCGUGGGGAGCAAACAGG
rnacentral:rRNA from 1 species